rnacentral:rRNA from 1 species
UACGUAGGCAGCGAGCGUUGUUCGGAUUUACUGGGCGUAAAGAGUGCGUAGGCGGUUUUCUAAGUUUGGUGUGAAAUCUCCCGGCUUAACUGGGAGGGUGCGCCGAAGACUGGAAGGCUUGAGUAUGGGAGAGGUAAGCGGAAUUCCUGGUGUAGCGGUGAAAUGCGUAGAUAUUGGGAGGAACACCAGUGGCGAAGGCGGCUCACUGGACCGGAACUGACGCUGAGGCGCGAAAGCGUGGGGAGCAAACAGG